rnacentral:rRNA from 1 species
CCAGCUUGCUGGGGUGAUUAGUGGCGAACGGGUGAGUAACACGUGAGUAACCUGCCCCUGACUCUGGGAUAAGCCCGGGAAACUGGGUCUAAUACUGGAUAUGCACCGUGGACCGCAUGGUCCUUGGUGGAAAGAUUUUUUGGUCAGGGAUGGACUCGCGGCCUAUCAGCUUGUUGGUGAGGUAAUGGCUCACCAAGGCGACGACGGGUAGCCGGCCUGAGAGGGUGACCGGCCACACUGGGACUGAGACACGGCCCAGACUCCUACGGGAGGCAGCAGUGGGGAAUAUUGCACAAUGGGCGAAAGCCUGAUGCAGCGACGCCGCGUGAGGGAUGACGGCCUUCGGGUUGUAAACCUCUUUCAGUAGGGAAGAAGCGAAAGUGACGGUACCUGCAGAAGAAGCGCCGGCUAACUACGUGCCAGCAGCCGCGGUAAUACGUAGGGCGCAAGCGUUAUCCGGAAUUAUUGGGCGUAAAGAGCUCGUAGGCGGUUUGUCGCGUCUGCCGUGAAAGUCCGAGGCUCAACCUCGGAUCUGCGGUGGGUACGGGCAGACUAGAGUGAUGUAGGGGAGACUGGAAUUCCUGGUGUAGCGGUGAAAUGCGCAGAUAUCAGGAGGAACACCGAUGGCGAAGGCAGGUCUCUGGGCAUUAACUGACGCUGAGGAGCGAAAGCAUGGGGAGCGAACAGGAUUAGAUACCCUGGUAGUCCAUGCCGUAAACGUUGGGCACUAGGUGUGG